rnacentral:rRNA from 1 species
UACAGAGGUCUCAAGCGUUGUUCGGAUUCAUUGGGCGUAAAGGGUGCGUAGGUGGUGAUGCAAGUCUGGUGUGAAAUCUCGGAGCUCAACUCCGAAAUUGCACCGGAUACUGCGUGACUCGAGGACUGUAGAGGAGAUCGGAAUUCACGGUGUAGCAGUGAAAUGCGUAGAUAUCGGGAGGAACACCAGUGGCGAAGGCGACUUCCUGGCCUGUUCUUGACGCUGAGGCGCGAAAGCUAGGGGAGCAAACGGG